CAUUAAAAAUUUCAUCUAUUUGUACUAUUAAAAACUGGUGUGCCUAACAAAAUAACUAGAUAGUAACAUGUGGCGUGCCACGUGUACGUCAUGCUAACAUACAAAGACCAGUUUUAACAGUAGAAAUGGAUGGAAUUUUUAACA
rfam:Gossypium raimondii Chr05_contig_1344, whole genome shotgun sequence.